AAAAAGUCAAGACAUUUUCACAUCGAAUUGAUGCUGAUUUGAGCCCUAAGAGCGUGCUACAGCACAGAUUUUAUAGGGUUUGGGGACAACGUUAAAUGAAACAGCAGGGCUGAGGUCCAGGUCUGAGGGGGAAACUCCAGGAGGAGGCUGGAAGGUGAACCUCUGCAGAAGGCGUGUGAAGAAAAGGAAGAGCUCCAUUUUGGCAAGAGUCUCACCAGCACAGAUCCUCCGCCCUGCAAAGAAAUGCAGAAUGGUCUGUAAGAGUCAAUAGGAGCUGUGCUUUUUUUCUUUUCAUUCCUUUUUUGUUUUUCAGUUGUGAGGGGCUUUAUGUCAUAGGGGAGUGAAUUCAGAGUCUGAGUCCAUGGGUAAAGCUGGGCUAUUCAAGUUAGCAGAUGUAGGUGGA